GCAAAGAAAGCCGCUUUAAUUUUGAGUUGGCAUCGUUCGGCGUGCUGUCGAUAAAGAAGCACAGCAAAAAGCAAAAUUUGACGUGUUGGCAGCAUUGAUCUGUCAGUUCAGUUUCCGUGAAAAGCGAGAAAGAAAAGGAGCUUGCAAAAAAGGUGCCAUCGGUCGGAAAGACGCUCGUCGGUCGGAACGAAUUUCCGAGCGUGGGAUUGCUUAACCGACAGGCUCGCUCCGCCGAUUGGUAACCAAAAAAGCAGACUACCGCGAAGCGGGAAAUUUUGGUUGAUAGGCAACAACCGGGACCGGAAAAGGCCAAGUGACCGCUGUCGGGUUAAAAAACACCUUACGAUCGCGCAAAAUUUUGUCGGUGACCAACCACGAGGCGCUCGGAAACUCAAAAGGAAACACCUGCAAAUUUGCGAGCGAGCGGAAAGGAAAACGGUUAGAUUCGCUCUGCCAGAAUUCCAGCAAAACCUGCCGGUUACACCAACAAGAAGAUCGCUUGCAAAAGUUGUAAAAACAUCACGAAGGGGUCGGAAACCGACCCUUUCUUUUUUAUGCGGAACUUCUAGACGCAAUCUUUUUGUGCAACUUUCUUUUGCGCAACUUCUUUUUGCAUAGCCUCCUUCUUAAUUAGCCUGUGCUCCAACAUCGGCAACAACUUCUGUUACACUUUGGUAAUCUUUCCGGUAGCCACGCGCCUGGCAAGAAUCUUCCGGAUAGAACUUCCUGUUCCGGAAAGUGGAGAGGAUCAAGCCAGCCGACAAAUUGAGGAAUCAACCGAUUCCGUUCCUCGGACGCAGUCUGCUGGAAAAUACUUUUCUUUGUAUGCGUGUCGCGACCGAAAGCUCGAUCUCAGCCCGGAUUAUUUCGACGGCCUAGAAAGGCAUAAGGCUUGUCGAUUGGAAGCAUCCUGGGGGUGCUAAGUUUUUGCUUGGCGAUCGACGAACAGCGAAGAGUUAGGAAGCCGCUGGAAGACAACCCUCCUUAGAGCCAGGAGUGACGAGGUGCUGCACUUUCAUUCGUGUGGGCCGACAAGGUGCGGUUUCGGCACGACGAGGCCGUUGGCAUCUCAGCAUCAUCGGUCAGCGGAUGACAUCCUACUGUGGCACGAGCGGAAGUCGAGGGUGUGUGCAGAAUAUUCGUACGAGGAGUGAGAGUGCACGUCAAGAGGUGCACCUGGCGGUGCCCAAGAAUCGUCGAGUGUCAGCAAGCUACCUUACACGUGUGCCAAGAGGGAACGAGAGUGAAUCGAUAAGGUGGUACGAAUCGUUCAGCGUGUGUGAAAACAACAGGUGUGGAUCCACACACCGCAUUGCAUUGGAACGGAUUGCUGUGGGCGUGACUGGUGCGAGUCCCAGGCGUGGACCGAACAGAGCCAAGGAGCCGCUUCAAAGCAACCAAGGUGAAACCCGCAAGACAGCGAAGAUGCACGUAAGUCGCCUUUUUCAUAAUUUGAGGUGGGAAAGAAAAUGGG